UACGGAGGGUGCAAGCGUUAUCCGGAUUCACUGGGUUUAAAGGGUGCGUAGGUGGGCAGGUAAGUCAGUGGUGAAAUCUCCGGGCUUAACUCGGAAACUGCCAUUGAUACUAUCUGUCUUGAAUACCGUGGAGGUUAGCGGAAUAUGUCAUGUAGCGGUGAAAUGCUUAGAUAUGACAUAGAACACCAAUUGCGAAGGCAGCUGGCUACACGAAUAUUGACACUGAUGCACGAAAGCGUGGGGAUCAAACAGGG
rnacentral:rRNA from 1 species